GUGCAACUUUGGCAGCACAUAUACUAAAAUUAGAAUGAUAUAGCAAAGAUUAGCAUUGCCCUAGUAUGAGGAUGACACAUAAAAAUUAUUUUAGUUAAUAUUAU